rnacentral:tRNA from 1 species
GGAGUUUUUAUCCUACUUAAAAUAAAGGACUUCCCUGAUUUCAUAAGGGCGGAAUUCCUUUCAGCGGUUCGAAUCCGCUACGCUCCACCA